UACUCCAGAGAGUGGCAAUCAUUUGUAAUUAUAUGUGAUUGACACCUCUGUGAGUGGA
rnacentral:pre_miRNA from 1 species